rnacentral:rRNA from 1 species
UACGUAGGGGGCAAGCGUUGUCCGGAAUCAUUGGGCGUAAAGAGCGUGUAGGCGGCCUGGUAAGUCCGCUGUGAAAGUCCAGGGCUCAACCCUGGGAUGCCGGUGGAUACUGUCGGGCUCGAGUCCGGAAGAGGAGUGUGGAAUCCCUGGUGUAGCGGUGAAAUGCGCAGAUAUCAGGAGGAACACCAAUGGCGAAGGCAGCACUCUGGGACGUGACUGACGCUGAGGCGCGAAAGCGUGGGGAGUGAACAGG